rfam:Felis catus breed Abyssinian Contig253380.1, whole genome shotgun sequence. [26-MAY-2016]
GCCUGGGUGGCUCAGUCGGUUGAGCAACCGACUUCAGCUCAGGUCAUGAUAUCCCUCGUGGGUUCAAGUCUCGCCUUGGGCU